UUUUAUCCCCCCGGGAAAACUAGCAUAUCAAUAAGCGGAGGAAAAGAAACUAACAAGGAUUCCCCUAGUAACUGCGAGUGAAGCGGGAAAAGCUCAAAUUUAAAAUCUGGUGGUCUUUGGCCAUCCGAGUUGUAAUUUAGAGAAGCGUCUUCCGCGCUGGACCGUGCACAAGUCUCCUGGAACGGAGCGUCACAGAGGGUGAGAAUCCCGUCUUUGGCACGGACACACCAGGGCUUUAUGUGAUGCGCUCUCGAAGAGUCGAGUUGUUUGGGAAUGCAGCUCAAAAUGGGUGGUGAACUCCAUCUAAAGCUAAAUAUUGGCGAGAGACCGAUAGCGAACAAGUACCGUGAGGGAAAGAUGAAAAGCACUUUGGAAAGAGAGUGAAACAGUACGUGAAAUUGUUGAAAGGGAAACGCUUGAAGUCAGUCGCGUCGACCGAGACUCAGCCUCGCCUUGGCUUGGUGUACUUCUCGGCUCGACGGGUCAGCAUCAAUUUCGUCUCUUGGAUAAUGGCGAGGGAAAUGUGACACCUUUACGGUGUGUUAUAGUCUCUUGUCGCAUGCAAGGGUUGGGAUUGAGGAACUCAGCACGCGCCUUUGGGUGUCGGGGCUUUGCCCACGAUACGUGCUCAGGAUGUUGGCGUAAUGGCUUUAAACGACCCGUCUUGAAACACGGACCAAGGAGUCUAACAUGCCUGCGAGUGUUCGGGUGGAAAACCCGUGCGCGCAAUGAAAGUGAAAGUUGGGACCUCUGUCGUGGAGGGCACCGACGCCCGGACCAGACCUUCUGUGACGGCUCUGCGGUAGAGCAUGCAUGUUAGGACCCGAAAGAUGGUGAACUAUGCCUGAAUAGGGUGAAGCCAGAGGAAACUCUGGUGGAGGCUCGUAGCGAUUCUGACGUGCAAAUCGAUCGUCAAAUUUGGGUAUAGGGGCGAAAGACUAAUCGAACCAUCUAGUAGCUGGUUCCUGCCGAUUUCCCCCCCCCAGAAAA
rnacentral:rRNA from 1 species